rnacentral:lncRNA from 1 species
CGGCCCGGCCCAAGCGCUUGCAGGGUGCGGCCCGAGCCUACGCGCCCAACAUGGGCAUGGCCCAGGCCCGCACACACGGGCUGGCCUAGGCCCAGGCACCACUGGGGCCUAGUUUUCUCGGUCCACUGUGGACCUGGCGGUCCACGGUCGAGUCUGUGGACCGCGUGGGCAUUUCCCAACCAUUUCUCGCGGUCCACAGCACUAUUCCAUGGAUCGGUUG